rnacentral:rRNA from 1 species
GUCUCAGCCGCCGCGGUAAUACGGAGGAUGCAAGCGUUAUCCGGAUUUAUUAGGUUUAAAGGGUGCGUAGGCGGAAUAGUCAGUCAGUGGUGAAAUCCUACAGCUUAACUGUAGAACUGCCAUUGAUACUGCUAUUCUUGAGUUCAGUUGAGGUAGGCGGAAUGUGUAGUGUAGCGGUGAAAUGCUUAGAUAUUACACAGAACACCGAUUGCGAAGGCAGCUUACUAAACUGACACUGACGCUGAGGCACGAAAGCGUGGGGAGCGAACAGGAUUAGAUACCCUGGUAGUCCACGCCGUAAACGAUGAUCACUCGUUGUAUGCUUAUAUUUAGUAUGCGACCGAGCGAAAGUAUUAAGUGAUCCACCUGGGGAGUACGUCGGCAACGAUGAAACUCAAAGGAAUUGACGGGGGCCCGCACAAGCGGUGGAACAUGUGGUUUAAUUCGAUGAUACGCGAGGAACCUUACCUGGGCUUAAAUGUAGAACGACUUUUGCUGAAAGGCAUUUUCCCUUCGGGGCGAUCUACAAGGUGCUGCAUGGUUGUCGUCAGCUCGUGCCGUGAGGUGUCGGGUUAAGUCCCAUAACGAGCGCAACCCCUAUUGUUAGUUACCAGCGGAUAAUGCCGGGGACUCUAGCGAGACUGCCACCGUAAGGUGAGAGGAAGGUGGGGAUGACGUCAAAUCAGCACGGCCCUUAUGUCCAGGGCUACACACGUGUUACAAUGGCCGGUACGGAGGGCAGCUACCUGGUGACAGGAUGCAAAUCUCCAAAAACCGGUCUCAGUUCGGAUCGGAGUCUGCAACUCGACUCCGUGAAGUUGGAAUCGCUAGUAAUCGCGUAUCAGCAACGACGCGGUGAAUACGUUCCCGGGCCUUGUACACACCGCCCGUCAAGCCAUGGAAGCUGG